rnacentral:rRNA from 1 species
UACGUAGGGUGCAGGCGUUAAUCGGAAUUACUGGGCGUAAAGCGUGCGCAGGCGGUUUUGUAAGCCAGAUGUGAAAUCCCCGGGCUCAACCUGGGAACUGCAUUUGGGACUGCCGCGCUAGAGGACGGGAGAGGAGCGCGGAAUUCCCGGUGUAGCGGUGAAAUGCGUAGAGAUCGGGAGGAAGGCCGGUGGCGAAGGCGGCGCUCUGGAACGUUUCUGACACUGAGGCUCGAAAGCGUGGGGAGCAAACAGG